rnacentral:tRNA from 1 species
GGGUCGUUAGCUCAGUUGGUAGAGCAGUUGACUUUUAAUGAAUUGGUCGCAGGUUCGAAUCCUGCACGACCCACCA